GACGAACGCUGGCGGCGUGCCUAAUACAUGCAAGUAGAACGCACAGUUUAUACCGUAGCUUGCUACACCAUAGACUGUGAGUUGCGAACGGGUGAGUAACGCGUAGGUAACCUGCCUGGUAGCGGGGGAUAACUAUUGGAAACGAUAGCUAAUACCGCAUAAUAUUGAUUAUUGCAUGAUAAUUAAUUGAAAGGUGCAAUUGCACCACUACCAGAUGGACCUGCGUUGUAUUAGCUAGUAGGUGAGGUAACGGCUCACCUAGGCGACGAUACAUAGCCGACCUGAGAGGGUGAUCGGCCACACUGGGACUGAGACACGGCCCAGACUCCUACGGGAGGCAGCAGUAGGGAAUCUUCGGCAAUGGACGAAAGUCUGACCGAGCAACGCCGCGUGAGGGAAGAAGGGUUUCGGAUCGUAAAGCUCUGUUGUAAGAGAAGAACGGGUGUGAGAGUGGAAAGUUCACACUGUGACGGUAUCUUACCAGAAAGGGACGGCUAACUACGUG
rnacentral:rRNA from 1 species